rnacentral:rRNA from 1 species
UACAGAGGUCUCAAGCGUUGUUCGGAUUCAUUGGGCGUAAAGGGUGCGUAGGCGGCUUUGUAAGUCAGUGGUGAAAUAUGGCAGCUCAACUGUCAAGGUGCCAUUGAUACUGCAGAGCUUGAGUACAGAUGAGGUAGGCGGAAUUGACGGUGUAGCGGUGAAAUGCUUAGAUAUCGUCAAGAACACCUAUAGCGAAGGCAGCUUACUAGGCUGUAACUGACGCUGAGGCACGAAAGUGUGGGGAUCAAACAGG